UAUAUGGCUCGUUUUGAAGGAUCUGCGAGACCAGUGACAAAAUAUGUUCCAAAAGCAAUGAAAAUAAGGAAAAGGCUCAAAAUUAACAACGUUCGUUUUCACUCAGCAAUGUGUAAGACUCUCGGGAAAUUAAGACAGGAAGUUUCAAACCACGUGCCUUGUUCUCAUCCUGGCAAACCAUGUGAUCCAAUCUCUUGUUCUUGUGCCAGCAGUUCCAAUUUUUGUGAAAAAUUUUGUGGAUGUCAGUCCGAUUGCAGCUACCGUUUUGCUGGAUGCAAGUGUAGAGGAAAUUGUUCCACCAAGCUGUGUCCCUGUUUUAUCGCUCUGCGAGAGUGUGACCCUGAUCUGUGC